GACGGGGGGUCCUAGCGUUGUUCGGAAUAAUUGGGCGUAAAGCGUGUGCAGGUGGUUUUGUAAGUUAGAUGUGAAAUCCUUGGGCUUAACCCAAGAAGUGCAUUUAAAACUGCUAAACUUGAGUAAGGAAGAGGGUCGUGGAAUUCCUGGUGUAGUGGUGAAAUACGUAGAUAUCGGGAGGAACACCAGUGGCGAAGGCGACUACCUGGCCCAUUCUUGACGCUGAGGCGCGAAAGCUAGGGGAGCGAACGGG
rnacentral:rRNA from 1 species